rnacentral:rRNA from 1 species
GAAACCCUACGGGGCGCAGCAGUGAGGAAUAUUGGUCAAUGGUCGGGAGACUGAACCAGCCAAGCCGCGUGAGGGAUGAAGGUACAAAGUAUCGUAAACCUCUUUUGUCAGGGAACAAAGGCGGGGACGUGUCCCCGGAUGAGUGUACCUGAAGAAAAAGCAUCGGCUAACUCCGUGCCAGCAGCCGCGGUAAUACGGAGGAUGCGAGCGUUAUCCGGAUUUAUUGGGUUUAAAGGGUGCGUAGGCGGACUGUUAAGUCAGCGGUAAAAGCCCGGGGCUCAACCCCGGCGAGCCGUUGAA